rnacentral:misc_RNA from 1 species
GGUAAAGGUUUGUAAUGAACCAAUGACGCCCAUGAUGAGGACGUAAAAGAGGGUUGGACUGAGCAUCGGGAUCGUCACGUUGAGAUACUUCCGAAUCCGCCCAGCACCGUCGAUGGUGGCCGCCUCAUAAAGAUCGCGGGGAAUGCCUUUCAGCCCCGCAAGUAGGAUGACCGUACUGGCGCCGAACACGCCCCAAAGUCCCAUGAUGAUGUACGAGGGCAACACUAAAUCACGGUCAAUGAACCAUGUUGGCGUCGGUUGGUUGAUCAGUCGGAAAAAUGGUCGGAAGAAAAAGUUGAUGAGACCAUCGGAGGCAAACAUCCACCGCCAGAGAAGCGCGGUCGCCGCGGCUGGUAAUACGGCUGGCAAGUAGUAGAUCGUCCGCCAGACGCCGACCCCGCGCACCUUUUGGUUGAGCAGAGUCGCGGUCAACAAUGCGCCAAUCAGGCCGAGAGGCACAUUGAACACUGAGUAAA